rnacentral:rRNA from 1 species
AUGGAGGAACUGGGGCUGAAGGAAGAAGACCUGGAUGACGUUGUCUUUGAUGAAGAGAAGGCCCCCCUGGAGGCUGGAUGACGUUGGCUGGCUAUUGCUAGGGUUCACUCGGAGAAAUCCUACAGCCAAUAUUGGUUCUUCCGGAACAUGAGGUCAGCGUGGGAUCUUGCGCAAACGGCAAACUUCAAGCCGCUGGAGGAUAACUUGUACACCAUCCAAUUUUCUUGCUUGGGGGAUUGGGAGCGGGUCACUCAAGAGGGACCGUGGCACUUCAGAGGGGAUGCGGUGAUCAUCAAGCCGUAUGAUGGAGUGUCGAAGCCGUCCACAGUCAGCCUUGACACAAUUGAGAUCUGGAUUCAACCCAUGACGUACCGCAGCUUUAUGCCCAACUGGUUCCAUCCCUAG